rnacentral:lncRNA from 1 species
ACCCCGGGCUGCAGGCGGUGCUAAACCGCUGCGCCGCGAGGCUGCCCUCUGGCUCCUCUUAUUCCUGUGUCCUAGUUGCCCAAACCCAAAUUUAAUUUACAGCAAAUAACUGAGAAGAUCAUUUGGUUUAAGAAAGAAAACAGGAAACUUGCUGAAGGAAUAUCCAUUUGGGAAAAGAAGAUCAGGGAAACAAAGAAACAUCUUCCAGAAACUGAGAGGAAAUAUGUUUCUCUCUGAUGAAGAUCCUAAAUUAAAGGUAAGAAUCCCUUCUUUGCCUGAAUUGUGUUCUAACAACAGAAAUAAAAGUAAUAAAUUAUUAUUACUAAUAUUAUUUUAAAGAUUU